UUUGGCAGCACAUAUACUAAAAAAAAAAAAAAUUGGAACGACACAGAGAAGAUUAGCAUGGCCCUGCACAAGGAUGACAUGCACAUUCGUGAAGCGUUCCAUGUUAAA